rnacentral:lncRNA from 1 species
CUGGGUACCAGUUGGGCGUUUUCGGGUGCUGGAGAUUGAAGAGAUGGAGCAGCUUCCUCAGCAACGCCCUGCCCCUUAAAAUACUGCCAUUCUGAGCCGCCUUCCUCCCUGCAGCCUUCAGCAGGGAUGGAGUGAAACGGACCCCUGGACCUGCUCGCGGGGAUCAACAAUGGAGUUAAAGCAAUCUCUGUCUGUUCAUCUGGAAGCCGAGAAGCCUCUGAGGCGCUAUGGGGCGGUGGAGGAGACAGCAUGGAAAGCGGAGGGACUGGGAAGUGAG